UGUAAGCGUAUACCAAAGUUGUUGCAGUUAAAACGCUCGUAGUCGGAAUUUGGCAGUUCCGGAUGUGUGCACGUCGUGUGCGCACUUCGCGGGGAUUGCUUUUGUGGUCUUGCGUAGGUUGAGGCACUUUUAUUAGUGAACGUCCUCACGCAACCACUUUUUACUGUGAGAAAAUCAGAGUGCUCAAAGCAGGCAUUUGCCGUGAAUGUAUUAGCAUGGAAUAAUAGAAUAGGACUUGGUUCUAUUUUGUUGGUUUGUUGGGACUGAGUAAUGAUUAAGAGGGACAGUUGGGGGCAUUUGUAUUUCGGUGCUAGAGGUGAAAUUCUUAGAUUACCGAAAGACAAACUGCUGCGAAAGCGUCUGCCAAGGAUGUUUUCAUUGA
rnacentral:rRNA from 1 species